rnacentral:lncRNA from 7 species
CUUGUUCAGGUGCUGGUUGCAUGGAAGGCAGGUGCCUUUUAUCCAAAGACAAGGAGUGUUCUCCAUAGGAAGUGUUUAUGUUCAUACUGCAACGCCAAAUUCAGAAAAUAGAUUACCUCUCAGGAAACCAUCUGUUCCAGCAUCCCGUGAACUUUCAGACGGAUGCUCCUUGGAGCUUUGCAGUGUCAGCUUAUGCCAGGUUUGGCGUGAUCCAGCAGGCUGCAUCCAGGGUGUGCUCAAAUGUCCCAGUUGAAAAACUCCAGCUGUGAAUUUGCCUCCACCUCACAGACACAGGCAGACUACCGGGCGCUUGAAUGGUUUAUUUUAAAUCAAAAUAUCAGUUACUCGCCCUGCACUUGUGUCUAAGCGUUGGUCACGUUGUAAACAGGUACUCUGAGAGUGCUCAGAAACUGUGUUGGAAUAGAAAUAGGGCAUUGCCAGACACAGACCGUAGCGCAAGGCUGUAGCUAUGAGCACAAGUAUUGAGCCAUGAAUGAGCUAGGAAGGAGAUGGGUGGUGGCGUGGAGAUACUACAACUAAAUACAAUGUCAUUGAGUUUGUCUUUGAUACUUUCCUUGCUUUUGGCAUUUAAGAAGGAGGUUGGAAAAAUCUGGAAGGCUUCAGAUGAGAGUUCUAGGAAUUAUCUAAAAUGAUGAAAACCUGCUUUAUUCCGAGAGGCUUAAGCCCUAAUCUAUUCAGUUUAUCCGCAUGCAUGCAAAAAGCUCACUCAGUCACAGUCUGCAGCUCCCUACUUGGGUUAGAGAUUGCUCACAUUUAUGGCUCUUUAAUCUUCAUGCAGCGGGAACUGAUCCUGGAUACACCCAGACUAGCAAUAUGGCAUACUUCAGCAAUGCAGGAAAAUAAGCUUUCAGCAGCUGACCUGCAGAUGUGAUGAAGACUCUGUCGCCUGGGAUCUUUAAAUCAAGACUUAACAUCUUCUAGAGGGUGUGCUACAGCACAGAGAGGACUUGCAGGCAUGCCUGCAGUGUAGGUAUUGCUGGAAGAGGUUCUGCGAUCUCGUUAACAAAUGCUGUAUAAAUAAAUUAGCACAGUCAUUGCUUCAAGCCUCAGAAUUCUAUUAAUACUCUCAAUACCUGCUUUUUGAAAUAAUCAUGCCAUCCUCUUACAAACCGCACGCCUGAAACUGUGGUCAGACUAUGGGUUAAUUAUGCCUACGAACAGCUCUGGAUUGUACAACUGAGAAAUCUGAGGCAGCAAAACCUUAAUUGGCUUUUCCAAGGGCAUCCAGCAAAUCACUGGGAACGCCAGGCACUGAGCCCAGGGGAGAGGUGCUUCCUCCACUCCCUGCAUCUCCUGCUUCCAACUGCUGAUAACAGCAGCAGUAUGGACUGGAAUCGGCUGCAGGGCAUGGACUUGACUCAGCAUCAUCUGGUUCUGCGCUGAGGGAGGCAUCUCCCAGCCAUGGUCUCCCCAUUGAUGUGUCCAGCUCCGAACACAAGUAUGUCAUCACCCCGUCCCUCAACUCUUGUGCUGACGGGCAGCCUUCUAUUUGGACUCUCUUCAAAGUCACAUCCUGGACCCUUUAGCUUCAAUUUUAGCAGUUGAAAGGACCUGCCAUCUCAUCCUGCCUCUUCUGACCAUCUGAUUCCUUGUGUUAAAGAUUGGUCAAUUCGUUUCCCAGGUCCACUCAGUCGUCGAAGGUUAAGCAGCCCUUGGUUUAUCUAUUAAAGGCAGGCAAUUAGUUCCCUCAUGCUGACUGUCGGUGAGAGUUGGGAGGGGAUGCAGUAACCUUGUCCAUGGAACUCCUGCAAGAGGGCAGCACGAUGGCUUCAUACAGAUCCACAGCGGUCACCCACCUUGGAGAAAAAUGGAUUUCUUUCCAGCAUGCAAACAGCUGAGUGAACAUCCCCAAGGGCCUUCCAAACUGCUCUGAAAAAAAGGAGCUGGGGGAGAAAGCUGCAAGGUUGGCAAACGUUGCCGCAGCCACGGCUGGUGCCUGGGAAAGGACAGUGCUGGGAACUCAGCUAAUGCAUGUCGCCUCUGCCUCGCAAAGCCAGCAGAGGAGAAAAUGUCAGAGAAUUGGCCUGUCAAAAUGACGAAGUUGAAAAAGCAAGAGCGGUGCAGAAACUCAAGCUGUCGACAAAAUGCUUGAAGCAGCCUGCUGGGACCGGAGCCCAUGGGUGUGCUGAGACGUGGGGGGAGAAACCACCGUCCCCAUCCCACAGUACUGCUCCUGGGUUGGUCACAACCAUCCCUUCCAUACACCCAGGGGCUUGGGGGGGCUGUUUCCUUUUCUGUUCUUUUUUUUUCAUGUGGUUUUGAGGUGUUUCUGUGUGUGUGUUUAGUCUGUUUGCUUUUCCCAGGCUGACUGUUAAAUUCUGGCUUUAAACUCUAGUUAACUCAUGCAAUGGAUUCACCCGCAGACCUUUCCUCAGCUCAUUGCCGUGCACCCACCUGGAGCACCUCUUUGUCCUCGGUAUUUGAUGCUUCUGUUUUCAAACAGACUUGCCAUUAGCACCUGUUCAGUCAUCACUUAGCCAACAUAGGUAGCUCUACCACAUCUGUCACCAUAAAUCACAGCCUCCAGACUGGGGUAUUUUUCAUCCCCCUUCUGUGAGCUCUCCCCUGUUUACCAGUAUCUUACUGGGACUGGGUUUUAGCCACAUCCUAAGGCCCACUGUAAUAGC